CAGGUCCAGAGAAGUGCAUCACGGCAACCGGUGCUCUCCUGUUCACAGUCCACCAUUACCCGGUUGUGCUCUGUUCCGUGCGAUGCUCCAAGGUUCCCGAAUGCCUCUCCUGUAAUUAUGGAGGUCCCUCUGAUACGUAUGAAUUGCUCAACACAACAGCGCCCAUUACGUCAGGACCUUCAUCUGUGUCAGAACAGAGUGGCUGGGACAAUUUUACUUACACAGUGCCAAAAAAGGUAAACUCGAAAUGAGGAAUAUUCUGCUACCUGUACAGUCCUCCUUAUAAGGGAUCAAGAGGCAGGUGGCCAAAUGAGUCAUCCAAUAUGAAUAUUGUUGUAUGGUUGUUGUUUUAUGAAGAGCACGGGAAGCUUUCAACAAAAGAAAAUAUUUAAGAUUAAGUGAUUAGUAUUGAUCAGAAUAAGAUAUUUGUUCUAGAAAAAUUCCUGCAUCAUGGACUUGCAUAUUUUUGAAGUUGAAUAGUAAAUCAGUGGCCUUAGCAGUAAUCAAAAUAACAUGAACCUGAUAUUCAGUGCGAACAAAUGACUGGCGAAUUUUUGAGUUGUAUAAGAAAAAUGGUCAGGAAAUUUCUCAGUCAUUAGUUGCCAGUAUAAGUUGGCAAGAAACCUCUUGAGGGGUAUUCCCAAGUGACCAGGUCCAGCCACUGAAUAGGGAGGAAAUUUCACGUAGCUGAUACCUUAUUCUUUAGGAGGGCGGCUGACUUUCUGCAUAAAAUGUCCUCUUAAAAAAAAACUACUAAGUAGCCGCUUAAGAAGCAAGCCUGCAUUAUCUGGCUCAAUCUUCAGUCAUACACACACUCAACUGUAUAAUGAAUCAUUCAGCAGGACAAAUAAAAGAUGAAAGCUAUGAA